CAGCAGCCGCCACGGGAAAACAGAGGCCUCAAGCGUUGUUCGGAUUCAUUGGGCGUAAAGGGUGCGUAGGUGGCUUGGUAAGUUGAAGGUGAAAUCUCGGGGCUUAACCCCGAAACUGCCUUCAAUACUGCUAGGCUCGAGGACUGUAGAGGAGAAUGGAAUUCACGGUGUAGCAGUGAAAUGCGUAGAUAUCGUGAGGAAGACCAGUGGCGAAGGCGAUUCUCUGGGCAGUUCCUGACACUGAGGCACGAAGGCCAGGGGAGCAAACGGGAUUAGAUACCCGAGUAGUCCCUGUCUCUUAUAC
rnacentral:rRNA from 1 species